rnacentral:rRNA from 1 species
UUCUAUUAGACAUAAUUAAUAGUAUAAUCUGCUCAAUGAAAUUAAAUAGCCGCAAAAUCUGUGCUAAGGUAGCAUAAUCAUUUGUCCUCUAAAUGAGGACUAGUACAAAAGAUUGAACAUUUUAAUUAUUAUUUUUAAUAUUUUUAAUCAAAAUUAUUUUAAAUGUAAAAAAACAUUUAUAAAAAAGAAAGACGACAAGACCCUAUUGAACUUAACUGUAGUUUAACUGGGGCAGUUAAAUAAUUAAUAUUUUUAUUUUGGUAUUAAAAUAAAAGAUCCAAUAUAAUUGAUUAUGUGAUCAAGUUACCAUAGGGAUAACAGCGUAAUAUAAAUCCAAAGAUCUUAUAUAAAUUUAAAUUUGCGACCUCGAUGUUGAAUAAUAUCCUAAUUAACGCAAAAGUUAAUUUAAAGGAAGUCUGUUCGACUUUUAAAUAAUUACA